AAUGGAAUAAACCUUUUGUGCGUUAAACCCCACUCUCACAUUCCCAGAGAUAAGCAGAGACCAUAUCAUGUCUUCUUCAUUCGCAAUUCCUCUUUGUAAGACUUGUUGCUUCAUCUCUCAUCUAUCAAAUUGUUCUCCUCCCCCUGCUGCCGUCUCUCUCUCCCCCGCCCGCCACCGUCAAUUGCACCACCGGAGGAUUUCUACUACUCCCUUGUUCGCUACCAAUUUCUCCUCAGAGAUUGAGCUAUAUACCGAACUUCAUGGAGAAGAAACGUCAUCUGAUGGAGACCAGGAGGAGGAGGAGGAUAAUUUCGACGCUCAACAACUUGAGCUCGAGGCUAGACAGGCCGUGAAAGAGUUCUCCGAUUCCUUGUCUCGACAGCUUAAAAUUGAGGGUGAAGUUUCCAAUCAAAAGGGAACUCGAGGAAAGCAGAAGAAGCUCACAAAUUCCACUAGCAAUAUUCCUGAUCAUCUUCUUCCAAAGGUUGCAAUAGUUGGAAGGCCAAAUGUUGGUAAAUCGGCAUUAUUUAAUCGUUUGGUUGGGGGAAACAGAGCAAUUGUGGUUGAUGAACCUGGUGUUACCAGGGACCGUUUGUAUGGUAGAUCUUAUUGGGGUGAAUAUGAAUUUAUGGUAGUGGACACUGGAGGUGUACUUACAAUUUCAAAGUAUCACGAAGAACUAGCUAUAUCAACAACAAUAGGCAUGGAGGGGAUUCCUCUCGUCUCCAGGGAAGCAGCUGUUGCUAGGAUGCCAUCCAUGGUUGAAAGACAAGCUACUGUUGCUGUGGAAGAGUCUUCUGUCAUCAUAUUUGUUGUUGAUGGUCAGGCAGGGCUGACUGCAGCCGAUGUUGAAAUAGGGGAUUGGCUGCGCAAGAACUAUUCUCACAAGUAUAUUGUUCUUGCUGUUAACAAAUGUGAAUCUCCUCGCAAAGGUACCUUACAAGCAUCAGAUUUCUGGGGUUUAGGGUUUUCACCCCUUCCAAUAUCUGCCUUAUCCGGGAGCGGAACUGGGGACCUUCUUGAUUCUGUUUGUUCGCAAUUGAAAAGGAUCGAGGAUAUAGAGGACCCUGAUACUGAAGAAUAUAUUCCUUCCAUUGCCAUAGUUGGCCGACCAAAUGUAGGUAAAAGUAGUAUCUUGAAUGCUUUGGUUGGAGAGAAUAGAACGAUUGUCAGUCCAAUCAGUGGAACCACCCGAGAUGCUAUAGAUACUGAAUUUACUGGGUCGGAUGGCCAGAAAUGGCAUCUUAUAGACACAGCUGGUAUCAGAAAGAAAGCAUCUGUAGCUUCAUCAGGCAGCACCACCGAGGCUCUGUCUGUGAAUCGAGCAUUUCGUGCCAUUAGACGUUCUGAUGUCGUUGCCCUGGUAAUUGAAGCUAUGGCCUGCAUCACAGAACAGGAUUUCAAGAUUGCUGAACAGAUAGAGAGAGAAGGGAAAGGUUGCCUAAUUGUUGUGAACAAAUGGGACACAAUACCCAAUAAAAACCAGCAAACCGCUAUGUUCUAUGAGGAAGAUGUGAGAGCAAAGCUCCGUAUUCUUGGUUGGGCACCCAUUGUGUACUCAACAGCAAUAGAAGGCCAGAGUGUUGACAAAAUCGCUGUGGCUGCUGGUCUGGUAGCCAAAGAGAGAUCGAGGAGAUUAUCAACAGCAACAUUAAAUCAAGUGGUCAGUGAAGCUGUUGCAUUUAAACCACCUCCAAGAACUAGAGGAGGAAAGAGAGGUCGCAUUUAUUAUUGCACCCAGGCAGCUAUUAGGCCACCUACCUUUGUGUUCUUUGUAAAUGAUGCUAAGCUUUUUCCCGAAACAUACCAACGAUACAUGGAGAAGCAACUCAGGUCAAGUGCAGGGUUCCCAGGCACUCCAAUUCGGCUUCUAUGGCGUAGUAGAAGAAAGAUGGAGAAAAAUGGAAAGGAAGCUUCUGUAAGGACACAAGUGAAGUGAGGAAGUAGUGUCCAAGGCCAUUCAAUGCUCAACAAGUGUUCCAUUGAGUUUCUAUUUGCCUUAUCUGUAUAUAUUCGCAAUGCUAAAGAAGCCAUCAGUUGUUGACAUUACAGCACCGAAGCCGUCUAAAGGAGUGAACUUCUCGUAACGGAUCACCAAAGUCGGCGACAAAAGAUACAGACUUUAGCUCAGCUUUGCACUGAUGUAUCACAAAAUUUGUAACUUUUAAGUGUAACAAAGUUUAGCAUGGACAUCACUAUUUUCGGUUGUUAAUACGUCUAUUGAUCUAAAUUUAAAAACAAAAUCAAAA